rnacentral:rRNA from 1 species
ACGCUCGACACCUACGAGAGGCAGCAGGUGGGGAAUAUUGCACAAUGGGGGAAACCCUGAUGCAGCGACGCCGCGUGAGCGAAGAAGUAUUUCGGUAUGUAAAGCUCUAUCAGCAGGGAAGAAACUGACGGUACCUGACUAAGAAGCACCGGCUAAAUACGUGCCGGCAGCGCGGUAAUCUGAGCGGGCUGGCAAGGC